rnacentral:rRNA from 1 species
UUAGGCCUUAGCGCGGUGGUCCCACCUGACCCCAUGCCGAACUCAGAAGUGAAACGCCGUAGCGCCGAUGGUAGUGUGGGGUCUCCCCAUGCGAGAGUAGGGAACUGCCAGGC